rnacentral:rRNA from 1 species
AUACGUAGGGUGCGAGCGUUGUCCGGAAUUACUGGGCGUAAAGAGCUUGUAGGCGGUUCGUCGCGUCGUUCGUGAAAACUUGGGGCUCAACCCCAAGCUUGCGGGCGAUACGGGCGGACUAGAGUACUUCAGGGGAGACUGGAAUUCCUGGUGUAGCGGUGAAAUGCGCAGAUAUCAGGAGGAACACCGGUGGCGAAGGCGGGUCUCUGGGAAGUAACUGACGCUGAGAAGCGAAAGCGUGGGUAGCGAACAGGAUUAGAUACCCUGGUAGUCCACGCCGUAAACGGUGGGUACUAGGUGUGGGUUUCCUUCCACGGGAUCCGUGCCGUAGCUAACGCAUUAAGUACCCCGCCUGGGGAGUACGGCCGCAAGGCUAAA